rnacentral:miRNA from 1 species
ACACAUUCCAGCCAAUCAGCAGCAGACCCUCCCUCCCAGACCCUCCCACCUCCUGGACAGCAUCCAUUUUACAUUCAUUGUGAAGCUGUAUUCUUAGUGAGCUGUCCAGGAGGUGGGAGGGUCUGGGAAGGAGGGUCUGCUGCUGAUUUGCUGGAAUGU